rnacentral:rRNA from 1 species
ACGGGUGAGUAACACGUGAGUAACCUGCCCUUGACUCUGGGAUAAGCCUGGGAAACUGGGUCUAAUACCGGAUACGACCAUCUGGCGCAUGUCAUGGUGGUGGAAAGCUUUUGUGGUUUUGGAUGGACUCGCGGCCUAUCAGCUUGUUGGUGGGGUAAUGGCCUACCAAGGCGACGACGGGUAGCCGGCUUGAGAGGGUGACCGGCCACACUGGGACUGAGACACGGCCCAGACUCCUACGGGAGGCAGCAGUGGGGAAUAUUGCACAAUGGGCGCAAGCCUGAUGCAGCGACGCCGCGUGAGGGAUGACGGCCUUCGGGUUGUAAACCUUUUUCAGUAGGGAAGAAGCCGUAAGGUGACGGUACCUGCAGAAGAAGCGCCGGCUAACUACGUGCCAGCAGCCGCGGUAAUACGUAGGGCGCAAGCGUUAUCCGGAAUUAUUGGGCGUAAAGAGCUCGUAGGCGGUUUGUCGCGUCUGCUGUGAAAGACCGGGGCUCAACUCCGGUUCUGCAGUGGGUACGGGCAGACUAGAGUGCAGUAGGGGAGACUGGAAUUCCUGGUGUAGCGGUGAAAUGCGCAGA